rnacentral:rRNA from 1 species
UGAGUAACACGUAUCCAACCUGCCUCAUACUCGGGGAUAGCCUUUCGAAAGAAAGAUUAAUAUCCGAUAGCAUAUAUUUCCCGCAUGGGUUUUAUAUUAAAGAAAUUCGGUAUGAGAUGGGGAUGCGUUCCAUUAGUUUGUUGGGGGGGUAACGGCCCACCAAGACUACGAUGGAUAGGGGUUCUGAGAGGAAGGUCCCCCACAUUGGAACGGAGACACGGUCCAAACUCCUACGGGAGGCAGCAGUGAGGAAUAUUGGUCAAUGGACGCGAGUCUGAGCCAGCCAAGUAGCGUGAAGGAUGACUGCCCUAUGGGUUGUAAACUUCUUUUAUAUGGGAAUAAAGUUGUCCACGUGUGGAUUUUUGUAUGUACCAUAUGAAUAAGGAUCGGCUA